UGUUCAGCAGCUAGGUCGCACAAUGGAUUGAGCACCAGCCCUAAAGUCAGGAAGAUAAGAGUUCAAAUCUGGUCUCAAAAACUCACCAGCUGUGUGAUCUUGGAUGAGGAAACUGCAGUCGAGAGGGAGCAAGUGACUUCCUAGGUUUUGUAAAUGCUGGAAAAAGUCCAGAGUGCAUUUCUUCCAAGAGAAAGAGCACUUUGGUGCUUCGUUAAAAUGCCUCUUCCACCCGAUGCUGAAGUCUUGGGCUCAUUCAUUUCAUAGCUGACGACUCACAGAAGGAGAAGCAUAUCCCAGAAAAAUGGGAGUUUGACUGGAUCAAUCAUUCAAAGCAGCAGAUCUCUUUAAACAUGACAACAUGACCUAAAAUAACACAGCAAAAACUCAGAAGGGAAGGCUUAGAAUUG
rnacentral:lncRNA from 1 species